CACUACUCCUGUCCAGUGAAUAUUAGUAGCCUCAUCUUGUUGAGAAGACUGAGGCCAAGAGGUGGAUUGACUAGGCAAAGUCAACACAGUAUGUUAGGUAGAACUCCAACCUAAACAGCUAUUCUUGACCCUAGGUUGACCAUAUGGAAGUGUAUUCUUUGCUUGCUUGUUUGGGUUUGCCAACUUCACUCCUCCCCACACCCCAAAUCAUUUUUCAGCUUAUAAAUCUGAUGGGAUCUGAAAUGAUACAAAAUACUAAGAAAGAAGGUUAAAUGUGAAAGCAAAAUAGCUCAUGCAUUUAUAUCACACUGCUUCAUUGGUGUGAACGGUCUUAAUGAUGAAAUAAGGUUCAGUAACUUUUAAACAAAUCUUAAAGACAUAUGCAUUUACAAUUUUUAUGGUGUUUGUUUCGCUUGGCCCUUUAAGGCAUUUGCCAACUUGGAAUUUCCACUUGUGGGAUAGGUGCUUCGUAACGUUUUUAUGCUGCUUUAUUAACCAUAUAGAGCCCAUGCCCUCUGGCACAAUUAGAAAAUCCAGUUCUCUGGACUGUGGGAGGAAUGAGUUUAAUGAAAAAUAGAAAGCUUUAUGCAGGAAGAGACAUAUGUUUGGUUAUUUACAUGAGUGGCAGCCACUAUAUAAUCUUUGUGUGCUUAGAUCUGUACCCAUGGGUUUUGUAUUUUCUGAUUGAUAUGGUUUGGCUGUGUCCCUACCAAAAUCUCAACUUGAAUUGUAUCUCCCAGAAUUCGGAAUUCCUAAAAAUACGUAUGUCCCCAUCCCCUAAAUUCUAAUUCCAGAGGUAGAUUUAGACACUCCACAGGCUGUCCUUGUGUGUCUUAGAAUUUUACAAAAACAUAUUCUGCCAUUAGGUGGUGCCCAAACCAAAGCUUCUUAGCUGCUGUGCUUAAUUAAGCCACUCCGGAGAACAUUGUCAUUGAGCUUGUUGAGAUAACGUGACUGGUAGGUGUUAUGCUGGUGCUGUCGAGCAGCAAAUCAUUUAAAGCCAAGUGCUACAAUUUGCUGGCUGCCAUCCAGUUCACUGAGUAACUAACUAAGCAGUCACACAUCCAACCCCACAGUGGGGUGCUGUGAACAUGUAUGGAAGCCCCAUAUCUUCAAGGAGGUCCUACCAGGACCACAGGUUACUAAAACUUCUCCGAUAGUGCCCACGGUGAACCCGUAUUAUUGUUCCUCUAUCAGGUAGCUCAAUAUAUAUGAAAAGAUAGUGGAAUCUGCUAGGUGAUACAGGUGAGGGAAGAUCCUUUGAUUUGAGUUGAUGACAGGAAUUCAGCUGAGUCAUGUUUUAGGAUGCAGGCUCAUACCUAGAACCAUCUUGAAAGUACCAUCUGGGAGCAAGAGGGCAGGGCAUGGAUGCCCUGUUGAACAUGGGCUUUGAGGCGAACAGACCUGGGAUGGAUAUCUAGUCCCAGAGUCGUGUGGGAUCUAGGGCUAGAAACUUCACCUUCCUGUAUUAGUUUUCUAUUGCUGCAUAACCAGUUACCACAUAGCUGGUGUCUUAUAAUCACACAUUUAUUAUCUUGUAGCUUCAACAGUCAGGAUCAGCUUAGCUGGAUCCUCUGUUC
rnacentral:lncRNA from 1 species